GGCGGAUGCUCAUUGUUCGAACCAGGUGCUCUGACCGCUUGCUCACUGCUGCUGGCGCUAGGCGCGACCUGAAGGUCUACUGGAUUUAGUGUUGUCCAUAAGCAUGAACACAUCCCAUGUACCAAUGCUUUACUAAUCUAAUAUAAAGGGAGUGUUGGGCAGUGGAUAGACAGCUGGCCUCAAAACUUUAAAGACCUGAUUUCAAAGUCCACC